rnacentral:rRNA from 1 species
UACCAGCACCCCGAGUGGUCGGGACGAUUAUUGGGCCUAAAGCAUCCGUAGCCGGUCUUGCAAGUCCUCCGGUAAAUCCAGCUGCUUAACAGAUGGGCUGCGGGGGAUACUGCAGAGCUAGGAGGCGGGAGAGGCAAACGGUACUCAGUGGGUAGGGGUAAAAUCCAUUGAUCUACUGAAGACCACCAGUGGCGAAGGCGGUUUGCCAGAACGCGCUCGACGGUGAGGGAUGAAAGCUGGGGGAGCAAACCGG